AUACGUAGGGAGCGAGCGUUGUCCGGAAUUACUGGGUGUAAAGGGAGCGUAGGCGGGAGUGCAAGUCAGAUGUGAAAUACCUGGGCUCAACCCAUGGGCUGCAUUUGAAACUGCAUUUCUUGAGUGAAGUAGAGGUAAGCGGAAUUCCUGGUGUAGCGGUGAAAUGCGUAGAUAUCAGGAGGAACACCGGUGGCGAAGGCGGCUUACUGGGCUUUUACUGACGCUGAGGAUCGAAAGCGUGGGGAGCAAACAGGAUUAGAUACCCUGGUAGUCCACGCUGUAAACGAUGAUUACUAGGUGUGGGGGGACUGACCCCUUCCGUGCCGCAGUUAACACAAUAAGUAAUCCACCUGGGGAGUACGGCCGCAAGGUUGAAACUCAAAUGAAUUGACGGGG
rnacentral:rRNA from 1 species